UUACCUUGUUAAUUAUUUUUUUCACAGUUGAGAUUUAUUCACCUUUUUUCUAGUUGUGACACGCUAGUUGCUAAUAUAAAAGGCUUACAGUGUAGCUUUUUCCCAUGAAAUGUCUGAAGGCUCAACAUCUGUUUUUCACAGCACUUGCAGAUUAAACCUAUUUUACUAAAUGUUUUGUAAUUGCUAAUAGUUCUUAAUUUUUUCUUCUAAAAUGUAACUAUUGCUAUAAACUGUCACAAACCCCCGGGUGACCCGGACCUUCCUGUUGGUAUGUGUGUGAUUGUAGUUUUUGAGUUCUUUUUCCCCUUGGGGCGUUUGUGGUAUGCUUGGUGUGUUUUGGUUUUUGUCUGUCUCUCUGUGUUCUGCUUCCUCCCUCAUGCUCUGGGGCUGCUGGUGGGCGUGGUUGCCUGAGCUCCAGUUUACUCACCUGAAGCACAUCCAGUUAAUUAGCACACCAGUGCCUCUGCCUACAAUCAACUCACCUUUAAAAGACCAGCCCAACGUUCCAGUCCCCGCUGGAUUGUUGUACCUCGUAGUACGAACAUGCCAGCCUGUUGUUCUAUCCUGAACUAAUCAGCAUCUUGUCUGAACGCUUGUGUUAGUUGUUAUGUCUGAAAACGUUCAGUAUUGUGUCCUGUUCGACUUUGUUAUGUUAUGCACUGCGAGUGACAGGUUUCUGUGCCUUUAAGACUUACAGCAGUGAUUUACGGCAAGAGGUAAAAUAAUACCUGCCCAUGCACGACUCGGAUUCCCUCCUGUGCCAUGGAAACCCCUGAGCUCUGAAACCAGGACCACAUGCCCCUCGGAACAACCACCCAUCCCCAAGCCGAACCUGUCUCUCACUUGUGUACAAUAAAUUCUCUCAUUGCUCAUA